rnacentral:rRNA from 1 species
UGAGUACGAGAUGCUACGGCAUCGAAGCAGUCUAUGUCAUACUUCCAAGAAAAGCUUGCAAUGUCAUAAACAAAUAAUGCCUGUACCAUAACCGACACAGGUGGGUAGGUAGAGUAUACUAAGGGGCGCGAGAUAACUCUCUCUAAGGAACUCGGCAAAAUGGCUCCGUAACUUCGGGAGAAGGAGUGCCUUAUUUUUAUAAGGUUGCAAUAACAAGAUCCAAGCAACUGUUUACCUAAAACACAGGUCUCCGCUAAGUCGUAAGACGAUGUAUGGGGGCUGACGCCUGCCCAGUGCCAGAAGGUUAAAGAAGUUGGUUAGCAUUAGCGAAGCUGAUAACUGAAGCCCUGGUGAACGGCGGCCGUAACAAUAACGGUCCUAAGGUAGCGAAAUUCCUUGUCGGGUAAGUUCCGACCCGCACGAAAGGCGUAAUGAUUUGGAUACUGUCUCGGAGAGGGGCUCGGUGAAAUAGACUUGUCUGUGAAGAUGCGGACUACCUGCACCUGGACAGAAAGACCCUAUGAAGCUUUACUGUAACUUGAGAUUGAAAUUGGACUUUAUCUGCGCAGUAUAGGUGGGAGACGUUGAAAAUAUUCUUGCGGGAAUAUUGGAGUCAUCAGUGAGAUACCACUCUUAUAAUGUUAGAUUUCUAACUUUGUAUCAUUAUCUGGUCAAAGAACAGUUUCAGGCGGGCAGUUUGACUGGGGCGGUCGCCUCCCAAACGGUAACGGAGGCGCACAAAGGUUUCCUCUGAACGUGUAGAAAUCGUAUCUAGAGUGUAAAGGCAUAAGGAAGCUUGACUGUGAGACCUACAAGUCGAGCAGGGACGAAAGUCGGUCUUAGUGAUCUGACGGUGCUGAGUGGAAAGGCCGUCACUCAACGGAUAAAAGUUACUCUAGGAUAACAGGCUGAUCUCCCCCAAGAGUUCACAUCGACGGGGAGGUUUGGCACCUCGAUGUCGGCUCAUCGCAUCCUGGGGCGGUAGUACGUCCCAAGGGUUGGGCUGUUCGCCCAUGAAAACGGUACGCGAGCUGGGUUCAGAACGUCGUGAGACAGUUCGGUCCAUAUCCGGUGUAGGCGUUAGAAUAUUGAGAGGAGCCUUCUUUAGUACGAGAGGACCGGGAAGGACAUACCUCUGGUGUACCAGUUAUCGUGCCAACGGUAAACGCUGGGUAGCCAUGUAUGGAGAGGAUAACCGCUGAAAGCAUCUAAGUGGGAAGCCCACCUCAAGAUAAGUAUUCAC